rnacentral:rRNA from 1 species
AACGAACGCUGGCGGCAUGCCUAACACAUGCAAGUCGAACGAGACCUUCGGAACAGGUGGCGCACAGGUGCGUCAAGCGUGGGACCGUGCACUUAGGUUCGGAAUAACUCCCCGUAGGGGGUGCUAAUAUCGGAUAAUGUACUCGGACAAAAGAUUUAUCGUAUUUGGAUGGGCCGGCGUUGGUUUAGCCUGUCGGUAGGGUAAAAGCCUAUCAAGGCGACGAUACAUAGCUGGUCUGAGAGAAAGAUCAGCCACACUGGGACUGAGAACCGGCCGAGACUCCUACGCGAUGCAGCAGUGGGGAAUACUGGCAAACGGGCGAAAGCCUGAACCAGCAAUGCUUGGUGAGUGAUUAAGUUGGGAGGGUAGUAAAGCUCGUUUACACGGGACGAUAAUGACAGUACCGGGAGAAUAAGCUCCGGCUAACUCCGUG